UUGGAGCGUCACAAGUAGCUGUUUCCGGUGACGUCAGGGAGGACGACAUCUGUUAUCAGGAAGUUGGCUCAGGUGAAGUCUUAUUUGGUGUGCCCGCAGUCCUCUAUUUUUGUACCUCUGGAGGGAGAGGGAGCAAAAGGCUCGCGGGUUUCCUUACCUACACCAAACAUGUGCUAGGGAUACUCACUGAACACGACAAGUGUGGCACCAUCUUUCAUUUGCUUACCAUCUUGAGAAGAUAAGGCAAAAGAAAUGGUUGUGCAGUGAGGCCUCUAAGAAGUAAACCUAAGAGAGUAAAGGAAAAGAUUUUUCUUCCCAACAGCCAUAGAUGUUACUGCAAAAUAACUUAAUUUUGGAGUCAGAAGAAAGGCAUGUGUGGACAAAGAGGCUAUGUAGAAGCCAGAAAGGGUGCUCUCACCAGAGAACAAAUCUGCUGGCACCUUGAUCUUGGGCUUCCCAGCCUCCAGAACUUUACCCAUAGUCCACUGUGGUCUAGAAGCAGAUGAUUUUGCUGAUAUAUCAUCGGAAGGUUGAUGGUAGCCUAAUGCUACAUCACAAUGCCUGUCACUCACUUCACUUCAUUUCAUCAUGUAGCAUUUUAUCAUCUCAUAUCAUCACAUGAAGAAGGUUUCAGUUAUCUGUGAUCAACCACAGUCUGGAAACAGAUGAUCCUCCUUCUGACAAAUGGUCAGCAGGUCAGUAGCAGCCUAACGCUACGUCACGCUGCCUGCAUCAUUCGCCCCACUUCAUCUCGUUUCAUGGGCAUUUUGUCAUCUCACAUCAUCACAAGAAGGGCAAAGCCCAUUAGCAGGUAGCACAAGCUGAAUCCUGAUUCUCUAGCUGCAAAGCACGGUGUGAAGAAUGAUGAAGAUUAGCUCAUUCUUGAGUAGAUGGUGUGAAGUGCAGUUGUGAGGGCUGGAGUUGCUGUAGUCACUUUGUCACCACGAGGAAAACUGGCCCGAAGAAGAAGAAUCUGAUGCACAGGGAAGAGCAGAGCCAAGUAGAAGAGAACACUGGAGGUGGACCUGAAGCAUACUCUCUCUCUGAGCCUUUUUGAGCCACAUGAGGACUCUGUGUGUCAUGUACCAAGAGCAGAAAUGGAGUGUCAGAAAACGUUUUACAGCAACCUUGAAGCAGUUUCACCAAACAAGCAGAAAAAAUUAAGAAACAAUAGCAUUCAUUACACAGGCAGCAGCCAAAUGUGCUUGGAAUCAGUGAGUGAUGGAGAAGAACUUUCUGAAGGAAAUGCUUAAAGCUAACUAAUCACUAAAUUAUUUACCAGUAUAGCAGCACCAUAUAUGAGGAAGCAGAAUUUCAGAAAAGACAAAAAAGUCACAGCAUCUCAACGUGAGGAAAUAUCUUCAGAGUAAUUGACUGAUUCAUUAGUCAGAUGCAUCCUCCUCACAAAUGGACAGAUGCUGUUCAAGUUACUCGUUGUGUUUCUUACACAACUGAAAACAAGAUGAAAGGAUAAAUAAAAAUAAUUUCUUAGUCUGAAGAUAAGCUGAGCUAUAUGAAGAAUGUAAUAGAUGAAAUGUGAUGCAAGCUGGACGGGACAAUAGAAAUGUCAAGAAAAACAUUUUUUUUAAUUGUGGAUAAAGUUCAGAGUUAACCUACUGGCCAAAGGCAUCAGUGCCCAGAAGGCUGGGGAUGGUUCUCAGCCAGAAGGAAGGAAAGAGAUGCUGGUGGGAAGGAGCCCAAGACGUUCCUCCUCUGAGAAGGAGGCCAAACCAGAAGAAUAUUUCAGAAAAUUGAUAUAAUAGAGCCUUGAACCACUCCAGGUGCAGUCCUGUACAGCUGUGGAAAGCUUUGUACACUUUCUAACAACUUCUCCAGGAAAAGGUACAACUGCUUCUACUUUGGUAACAUUUGUCUCUCUGUUAAGGAGACUCAGUGGCCAUUUGAUGACACAUGAUUCACUGGUGAACUUUACAGAAAUAGUCUAAAAGGGAAAAGUUGGCCUUUCAGUCAAUCAGCAACCAAUGAAUGAGUUGGAGUGAGAUGGUUCAGAGAUUUAGUCACUGCUGGGUUCAACCUGGUUUCCAGUGAUGGAUGGGGGUGGAGAUCCAGGCAGUGAGGAAACAGGAAAAUUUAAGAUGAGAAAGAUGUAACUAUAUAGGUCAGUGGGGGCAGGACAACUGUAGCAUCUUGUUUCCUUGAUUAACUACUAUUUAAAUUCAUAAUUUAACCCCCAGGAGGGGGUCCCAGUAGCAGGUCCUUGCCCACUGAAACAGGACCCUUUCUGAACGAUGAAAGGAGAUUCUUCCAAUAGGAAUGUGAUGGUAUAUUUUGGAGAUGAUCAAAGAAGGAGAUAGACUGUACUAUGAAAAUAAUAAAUGUCAAGGUUGUUUAGCACCCAUUACCUCACAAUUUAUGAGUCAAUGUUUGUGCAGACUUCUGAGUUCAUAAGGUAAGAGUAAAUAGAAAUAAUUACCAUUAAAUACCAAGUUUUUCAGUCCUCACCCCAAAGGCUGUAUUUACAGAAGCAGUCUUAAACACCUCUCUGAAGAGCCAUUAGCCAAACUGAUGAAAGAGGAAGAUCCUUUCUGAGAGCACUAUAAUUCAGCAAUCACAGCAACAUCUUGGUGUUAGAAAGAACAUAGAGCAGCACUGGAUUAAGACAUACUGAAUCACAAGUUCAUAGUUCCUUCUUUCCCAUCAAAGAUACAAAGAAUUGAUCUUUUUAAAGCCACAGCUUCUUUGUUGAUAAAAAUGGGGAUAAUAAUAGCAGUUUUUCAAGGUUGGUAUGAAGACUAAGAAGAACAUGUGUAAAAUUCCCAUCAAAAUGCUAGCAUUGGGGCGCCUGGGUGGCUCAGUCGGUUAAGAGUCCGACUUCAGCUCAGGUCAUGAUCUCACGGUCCGUGGGUUCGAGCCCUGCGUCAGGCUCUGUGUUGACAGCUCAGAGCCUAGAGCCUGUUUCAGAUUCUGUGUCUCCCUCUCUCUCUGCCCCUUCCCUGUUUACACUCUGUCUCUGUCUCAAAAAUAAAUAAACAUUUAAAAAAAUUUUUUUAAUGCUAGCAUAUAUUAAAGUUAAAGUGAAUCGUAGCUAUUAGAAUGGUGGUCAGAGCUAACCGAUAAAAAGCCUUAUAUGCUAACUACUUUGUGUACUUUCUUCUACUUUUUCUUUUAAAUCCAUUGACUCUAUGCUAGUAUUUAACUUUUUGCCUCAUACUUAUUUUUACCUCUCUGACCAUCUGAAGAUUAAUUGUGCCCCACUGUCUGCUUGACUUUUUCAUCCCAGCUUUACUCCUCAGUGUUCUAUACUAUAUCUCCCCUUGACUCCAUGAUCUGCAUCUAAUGGGCAAGUUCCAUCCAGUCCCUACAUCUACUUUAGAAGUGGGUAGUCGGGGAAUAUCUGUGAAGACUUUAUGGAUGAACUAGGAUAUGAGUUACACCUUGAGAACAGGCAAAAUUGAAACUGAAGAGGACUGUAUGUUUUCUUUUCAAUAUUCCAUAUAGACCACCAAGUUAUGUUUUGCGUUUGCCAUUAUAAUUGCAUCUUUUCUUACUUCAGCAUUUUGGUAUAGCAUUUCAGUAUUCCAAGAAUGGAUGACAUCAUUGUCAGGGACAAAAGAGUUGGCUUAAUUUUUGUCGAUAACAAGCUGGGUUGAUUAUUUCCUGAUGAUACGAUAGUACCUUAAUUCAGAGAUUCCUGUGCUGGUGGGAUCAUGAGUCCAGUUGUCUUCAAAUUGUGAUUUGUGAAGGCCUGGAGUACUAAAAAGAUAUUACACAGCUCUUCCUGGGGAAUCUAGAAGGGGAGAGCAAAGCAAGAUGCAGGCUGCUUGGCUCCAACCCAAGCAUUCCACUUUUAUUGCUCCAUAUCGGAUUCUAGAUAAGAUUUUAUUUAGAAAAUAAAAAAUAAUUACACAACUUGAAAAAGAAAAACUUUGGAGACUCUCUAUUUCAUAUAUGAGAAAGCACAAUCUAGUCUGUUAGCAUGCCAAUAUUAUACUAUUUAUUUUUAAACCAUUUAUGCAUUUGGCUCAGUGAAUACUUAUUGAACAUCUACUCAGUGUGUGGUGUGCUGCUCAGGUCUGAGGACAAUGCAAAAAACAAAACAAAACAAAACAAAUAGUCCUGCCCUUGAAGAAGAAAUAGCCCAGCGUAGCAGUGAUUGCUGGCUGUCUACUCAAAAUCCCUCCUUCCCUUCUUCCUUACCAUGUAAAGGCAAGCAUCGAUGUGCCCAAUGAAAAAGUAACACUUCCCUGUAGCUAGGGGUAGACAAUAAAAAGUAAGGUAAGGUAUUGGGUGAGACUUCCAGGAAAGCGCUAUAGAAGGAAACUAAACAGAGUAAAUCCAUCUUUUAUCCAUUGCUUUCUCUUCCUUCCUACUGUCUGAUAGGGAGACAUAAUUGCUGGAGUUCUCCUGGACAUGCGGCAACCUAGGGAUGGAAACCAUGUGCUGUGGAAGUUUAGAAAAAUAGAAGGGUCCUAGAAACAUGAUGACUUUGAAGUUGACACACCAGCACAGGACUGCCCAUUUAUUGAUUUCCUUUGUAUAAAUAAAAAUAAGCCUCCAACUUGUUUAAGUCACUGUUAUUAUUUUUUAAUAUUUAACAAAACCUAAUCCUAAUGGACAAGAAGACAAGUAAAGAGGCAAAUUCAGAAGGAUGAUAAAUUAUGAUAGGGAUAGAAUUUUUUAGAGAACCAUGAAGUUUAAAUGUAACCCAAGCACUGGGGUUUGGGAAAGGUUUCUUAGAGAAGUGAUAUCUAAACAGAAUCCUGUAAACUGAGUUGAAGUCAGCCAAACAAAGAGUAUGGGAAACAGGGAUAUGGAGCAGUGAGUGCAAAAACCUGGGGGGAUGGGGAGUAGGGAGAGGAUCCAAUGCCUUCUGGGAAUUUAAAGUAUUUCAGUAAAGAUAGUAGGAAGAGGGCAUGGGUGGGGGAGUGGUAAGGCAUGAGAAAGGGUCAUAAAGUGUCUUGCCUGACUAAAAAGGGAGGCCACUAAAGGAUUUUAAGCAGGGAGUAAUAUGAUAAUAUUUGGAUUUUAGGCAUAUCAUUCUAAAUUGAGGUGAUGGAAAACCAAUUAGGAGGCUGUUUUAAUAAUACUGUCAAAUUAGAGCCAAAAAAAAGGUUAAGAAAGGGAAAUUUAAAGAAUGUGGUUAUUGAUCAAAUUGGAUGAAGCAGUUGAAUCCAUAAGAAAGAAGGAAGAAUCAAGGUUAAUGUCUGGGUUCCUAGGUUGGUAAUUUCAUUCACUAAUACAAGGAAUCCAGGAAGAGGAGCAGGCUUGCUCUCUUCAAAGGACACCAAAAGAUGACCUAGAUCUGCACAUGAACACUUGUACAUGCCAGUCAUAAAAGAAGAACAACUCUAGGCCUCCGGUUUUAACAUGUUACAUAGGUUCAAAAUGGAAGGAAACAGCUAUCGAAAGAAAGAAUGAAAGCAGGGGCGGAGGGUAAGUGUGAAAGAUGGAUGAAAUUCUGCAGGCCAUAGAGAAAAUAGCAAGCAAUAGAGAAGAAAUUGGACAGAAGCAAAGAAGAAGGAUAACAUAAAGUGUUAAAAAGGCCCUAUAUCACUCAAAAUACUAUCAAGAAGCAAAAUCCAAUUCAGAAGAUUGAAGAAACUUUCAUCCACUUCCUCAUUUUUACUAGACCCACUGCCUGGAUUCCUUUGUGCACUGAGUAUGGUGUGGGCCAAGUCUAAUUUCUCAUGAAUGUUGUGUUCUGAUCAUAACUCCUGCCAGAAAUUUGGAGCAGUGUUUUUCAGAUCAACCUGGACAACAAUUACGUGCUCUGUGCACAUGUUUAACUAAACCAGUGAUCAGAAAUGACACUCUGCAGCAAAACGGCAAAGUUGGAAACGACAUCCAUGAUGGACCAGCUGCCAGUCUUGAAGAAUCUGGUCUCCAUCUGCAUUUAGUGCGUUAUCCUUUGGAUUAUUUUGUUAGUGUGGGUAAAUUUGCAAACUGGAGAAAAUGGGGAUAUACCAGAAACUUAGAAUGGAUUUGUAGGAGAUUUUCAAACUACCUGCAUGGCUUUCUUCAGUUCUUCUGUUUAUGUCAAUGAGUUCCCUGUGGCCUCAUGAGCAAAGUUGAGGAUGAAGACUUGAUUAUGAAAGGAAAAAUAGAACUUCAAUUAGGAAAAGCCAUUGUAUGACUUCACAGGAAGGAGCUGUAAAUCCCUUGGAAUUUCCUGAGUGAUAAAAAUGUCUUUGUUAUUCAUGGUGGACCCAUGACUACACCUGAGUUAUGCAAAUGAGGUGACUCAUGGAGGGUCCCUAGUUAACAUCAGGAUGGGAGCUGGUCUUGAAGGGAAGACCAACCACAUGAUUAGAGAGUUGAGGCUUCCAGCGAGCCACCUGAUACCAACUCCAUCUGCUGACCUCUGAGAAAGAGAGGAGUGGUCAAUGAUCCAAUCAACCAUUCCUACCAAAUGAAAACCCAGUAAAAACUCUGGACAUCUGAAGCUUGGGGAAACCUCCCUAGUUGGUUAUCAUACAUUGAUGUGUCAAGAGAGUGACAUGUUCUAAGGACAUGGAAGCUUCACAUUUAGGACCCUCCCAGACCUUGCCCAAUGCACUGCUCCCUUUGGCUGAUCCUCAUUUGUAUCCUUUGUAAUAAAACUGUAAUCGUAAGUAUGGUGCUUGACUGA